rnacentral:rRNA from 1 species
GAUAAACGCUGGCGGCGUGCUUAACACAUGCAAGUCGAACGAUGAAAGCGGGAGCUUGCUCCUGCUGGAUUAGUGGCGAACGGGUGAGUAACACGUGAGCAAUCUGCCCCGAACUCUGGGAUAAGCGUUGGAAACGACGUCUAAUACCGGAUACGACGCGCGAAGGCAUCUUCUUCGCGUGGAAAGAACUGCGGCUCGGGAUGAGCUCGCGGCCUAUCAGCUAGUUGGUGAGGUAACGGCCCACCAAGGCGACGACGGGUAGCCGGCCUGAGAGGGUGACCGGCCACACUGGGACUGAGACACGGCCCAGACUCCUACGGGAGGCAGCAGUGGGGAAUAUUGCACAAUGGGCGCAAGCCUGAUGCAGCAACGCCGCGUGAGGGACGACGGCCUUCGGGUUGUAAACCUCUUUUAGUAGGGAAGAAGCGAAAGUGACGGUACCUGCAGAAAAAGCACCGGCUAACUACGUGCCAGCCGCCGCCGUAACAC